rnacentral:rRNA from 1 species
UACAACUUUCAACAACGGAUCUCUUGGUUCUGGCAUCGAUGAAAAACGCAGCGAAAUGCGAUAAGUAGUGUGAAUUGCAGAAUUCAGUGAAUCAUCGAAUCUUUGAACGCACAUUGCGCCCUUUGGUAUUCCAAAGGGCAUGCCUGUUCGAGCGUCAUU